UCAGACGAUGCGUCAUGCAUAUCAAUAAGCGGAGGAAAAGAAAGCUAACAAGGAUUCCCUUAGUAACGGCGAGUGAAGCGGGAAGAGCUCAAAUUUGAAAUCUUCAAGGGUUCUACCUUUACGAAUUGUAGUUUAAAGAAGUGUUUUCUGUUAGAGUUUCGGUAAAAGUUCUUCGGAAUAGGACAUCAUAGAGGGCUGAGAAUCCCGUAUUUGACCAGUUAUUUCUAGCUUUGUGAUACACUUUCAAAGAGUCGGAUUGUUUGGGAAUGCAGUCCAAAAUGGGUGGUAAAUUUCAUCUAAAGCUAAAUAUUGGCGAGAGACCGAUAGCGAACAAGUACCGUGAGGGAAAGAUGAAAAGAACUUUGAAAAGAGAGUUAAACAGUACGUGAAAUUGUCAAAAGGGAAGCGUUUGACACCAGUGUUGUUUUCUCGAAAAUCAAUUAAAAAAGGCAGGAUUUUGUGUUGUAUUGACUUUAUCAGCUUUCUGCACUCUUUUCUUGUCUUUUUUUAAUGCACUUUUCGUUUAACAAGUCAACAUCAAUUUCUUUUGUUGUAAAAGGGUCAUUGGAAGGUGGCUUUCUUUUCGGAGAAAGUGUUUAUAGCCUUUGGCCUCUGCAAUCGGAGAGACUGAGGUCUGCAGCGUAGAUCCUUCGGGGUUAGAUACAUUUGUGCUAAGUUAUAGUAUUUUAUAGACAACUUGUUGACUAUGAUUAGUCAUUGUAGCUUACUCGCUUAUGCUAUUUUACCUACGCUUAGGAUGUUGAUCUACAGAGCGAGAGU
rnacentral:rRNA from 1 species